CAAUGCCAGGUCUCCAGUUGGGGCGUAAUGAUUCACCAGUGAUAUUGACUCAUGGGAAGUGAUUCAUGGCAGACUGAAAACUUCACCUUCAAGAAUGGAAGAUUUUCAUCAAAUCUGACAGUGUGAAUUAUUUGUAUAAGAACUAUUCUUCUAACUACUCUACACAUUAGAAACAAAUGGUUGUGCCACCUGCAUAAGUGAUGUACAAGAUUAUUUGCUGCAAGUAACAACGGGUGUGAUGUUUCUAAUCUGGAACAUAUCAGUCAGAAGAAUACAGGUUGCUUAUAACUCCUGGCAAAGCAACAAGAAGGAUUUAAAGGCAACAGGAUCAAACCAGUAGAAAAAAACAGAGGAAAUGGAAAAAUUUAGAAAAUUUAAGAAAUGGAAAUAUGCACCAUGAAGAAAAAAGUAAAUUAGACAUUUCUCAGUAGAAGUCACUCGGGAGAUUUUGUGGGCAGAAAACUUCAUCCUAACAGGAGCUAACCUGGGUGCCAGCUCUGCUCACAUGGCAGUGUACUGGAGCCGGCUAGGAUGGGCUUGUGAGUUGUCACUGGGUGCAUCUGUCCUCGGUUUUACCAUCAAUAAAGUUUUAUGGUGGAAAGAUU
rnacentral:lncRNA from 1 species